UGAAAGGGAACGAUUGAAGUCAGUCGUACCGACGAGAAAUCAACUUAUCGUGUGCGAACUUAUGGGCGUGCGUGAGUUUCGGCCUCGCUGUUUGCAUGUUUGUGCGUUUUGGGUGUACUUUUUCGUAUGGUAGGCCAACAUCAGUUUCGAUUACUAUAAAAUGACCGGCGGAAUGUGGCUUCGAUUUCGGUUGAAGUGUUAUAGCCUCUGGUAGAUGUGGUGAUUGGGACUGAGGAUUGCAACGAAUAUCCUUUGGGCUAUCCGUCUGAUCUCUGAAAGUUGCUCAGGUGCCGAAAGCAUGCUUACGGUCAUCUAAGUUGACGGUCAAAAGGUUAGAACGUGAUUACAUUCGUUAAGGAUGUUGACGUA
rnacentral:rRNA from 1 species